rnacentral:rRNA from 1 species
UGAACGCUGGCGGCAUGCCUAACACAUGCAAGUCGAACGGUAACGCGAGGAGCUUGCUCCUUGGCGACGAGUGGCGGACGGGUGAGUAAUACUUAGGAAUCUGCCCAUUAGUGGGGGACAACUCGAGGAAACUCGAGCUAAUACCGCAUACGCCCUACGGGGGAAAGCGGGGGUCUUCGGACCUCGCGCUAAUGGAUGAGCCUAAGUCGGAUUAGCUUGUUGGUGAGGUAAUGGCUCACCAAGGCGACGAUCCGUAGCUGGUCUGAGAGGACGAUCAGCCACACUGGGACUGAGACACGGCCCAGACUCCUACGGGAGGCAGCAGUGGGGAAUAUUGGACAAUGGGCGCAAGCCUGAUCCAGCAAUGCCGCGUGUGUGAAGAAGGCCUGCGGGUUGUAAAGCACUUUCAGUAGAGAAGAAAAGCCUAGGGUUAAUACCCCUGAGUCUUGACGUAACCUACAGAAGAAGCACCGGCUAACUCC